CUUUGAAGUAGACCUCAGGCUUAACUUACCUCAAGCUCUUUUGAUUCUGAGAGCCUAUAUGCCUAUACUGUAUAAGUUAAACAGUGCAUCAGUCCUUUCUAUCACUUUAAAUUCAGACUAGGACUAAAAAAUUUUAGUUAGAAAUUACAAGUUUAUUUUUAUAUUUUGAAAAAGGCAUAAUAGAAAACAAAAAUAAACAACCAGGCAUAUCAAUAUUUGUGACAUACACAUACACACAAAAAUGAAUAUAGGAAAUAACACGAAGAAAAAGCAUAGUAUGUUUUGAAACCAACGUGGGGUAUGAACAGAUUUUUGAUGAAAUACAACUAAAGGUUUUAAGUGUCUAUGUAAUGUUCGAGAUAUUACGAUCACUCUUAUCCUACUAGCAAAAAUUAGCAAACUAGGCUUUAAAACAUGAUUCCUGUUGUUUUAGCAGGAUUUAUUUUGGUAAUGAUCCUGCUUCCUUAUAAACAACUACUUAUCAUUGUUGAAGUCUUCUUGUGUUAAGGAGUACAAUGAGGCCAGGCGUGGUGGCGCGUGCCUAUAGUCCCAGCUACUUGGGAGGCUGAGGUGGGAGGAUCACUUGAGCCUGAGAGGUCAAGGCUGCAGUGAGGUCAAGAUUGGGCCACACCACACUCUCAGCAACCUGGGUGACAGAGUGAGAUCCUGUCUUUAAAAAAAAAAAAAAAAAAAGGAAAGAAAAGAACAAAACAAAAAACAAAACUGAUGUACAUGUUUUAAAGCAAAAUAGAACCCCAAGUCUAAAAGUAAAAUAAGCCAAGGUUAGUUACAAUACUGAUUAAAAAGAGUAUAUCCUGAGGCAGUUGUUAGUAUAUCACUCUCUAUUAUAUGCACAAUAACCUCUGAUAGGUAAAAUAUCUGAGCAUUUUGCAAGGUAAACCUCCAAAGUUAUACCACAGUGUGCCUUUUUCUUUGCUGUUUCUUCUUUGCCUAUUCCUACAGCUACCAGUAAACACUUAGGAACUGCUUUGUAUGCCAGGGUCUCCAAGACUACCUCCAGGUUCCAUGAUUUGCUAGGAGAAUUCACAAGACUCAGCAUAUCAUCACACAGCUAUGAUUUAUUACAGCAAAAGCAUAUGAAGCAAAACAGCAAAGAGAAAAGGUACAGAGGCAAAGUCUGGGGGAAACCAGGUAUAAGCUUCCAGAGUCCUCUAACAGUGGAGUCACACAUAUCUGUUGUUUCAUUCCACCAGCAACUGAAUUGUGACAACAUGUGAGAAAUGUUGUUUACCAGGGAAACUUGUUAGAGAUACAGUGCCCAGGGUUUUUACUGGGGGCUGGUCACGUAGGUACCUUCUACCUACCAUGUACCAAAAUUCUAGACUCCCAGGAAGAAAGCAGGUUUUCAGCACAAACCACAGGUUAGCUACCAUGAACGACUCUUUUCAGUGAGUGGAGCCCUCCUGUUAAGGUUUAAAUAUGUCCCCCAAAGUUCAAGUGUUGGAAAUUUAAUUGACAUUGUAAAAGUGUUAUGAGACCUUUAAAAAGUAAUUAGGUAAGGAGGGCUUUGCCCUCAUUAAUGAAUUAGUGCUGCUAUCUUGGGAGUGGGCUCAUGAUAAAAGGCUAAGUUUAGACCCAUAUAUCUUUCUCAUGCUCACUUGCCAUGUGGUGCCUUCUGCCAUGGCAAGACCCUCACUAGAUGCUGGCACCAUGUUCUUGGACUGCCUAGCCUCCACACCUGUCAACCAAAUAAACUUCUGUUCAUUAUAAAAUACUUAGUUUGUGUAAUUCUGUUAUGACAGCAGAACAGACUAAGAUACCUUCUGAUAUCUAAGUUCCCAGAUGCAACAGCUGAGGACAAACCUUAUAAUCAGGCCUUUCAAAGGAUAAGUCAGGCUGGCUGUGUUACUCUUUUCUGCAUACUUAGUGACAUUCCCACAGGAAUAAUCAUCAUAGACAUUUUCAGAUUCAAG
rnacentral:lncRNA from 1 species